ensembl:antisense Gm15939 predicted gene 15939
GAGGGAUGGAGCAGUGGAGAGAGAUGGUGGCUGAGACCCGCCUGAGGAUUCACCAGGGAGCAGCCUCGACGACCUCAUCCAAGGACAGCCAGCCUGUCAGCAGGAAGGGUGGGGACCCGCAGAGCUAGGACCUCGCUGCCCGGCCAGCCUUUUUUGCCUUCGAGAGAGGAAGAGAAGGGAUGGGAACGCCGGGACGGUGCAAGUCCACUAGGGCUGCGGCCGCCUUUACCUUUGUACGCCUAAGCGGUAGCACGGCGCGGCCCGCAGGGGCUGUUCCACUGCCCCCAGAGCCACUGGGUCCCGCGCGCCCCUGGGGCUUCCGCAGCCACUCCUGAGCCCGCUGCUGCUAAAAGAGGAUCCGGCUCAUCCCAACUCUUGAUUAUCCCAGAAGAGAGCUCCUAGCGUUGUAAGCGCUCACACAUGCUCUCCGCUCCUCUCUCUGCCUCUGCCUCGUAGGGGUAGGAACGAAUUUUGGGACACAUUCAAAUAUCCCAAGCCCCAAGUUCAGCCUGCUCUGGUCUCCAGGUCCCAGCCAGGUCCAGCUAUAACUGAUCUAGUGGAACAGCUAUGGCCUCACAGCAUCCCCAUGCUCCUCCUCGCUUUGUGUGCAAGACCCGGGAGUGCGGGGUAGAGUAGCCCUUGAUUUUGCAACUUAAUUAAGCUUUACUAUGUUUAAAGCACCUUUUUACUCUGCUGGGUAGACCUUUCUGCUCAACAUUCUUCAAAACAGGACUGGCAAGUGUCCUAGGAAGAUUCUCAGGGCUAGUAUCACUCACAACUGUAGAAAUUUGAACAUUUCAAAGAGGAAUUCAGGACCUUUUUCUUGAAUUAAUUCAAAGCAGUCUUAGAAAAGUGAUUUUCUUCUCAAGAACAGUCACCAUGGUCAUCGAGGAUAAGCAAUAGCCAUCAGGAACCCAGGACAUGGUACAGAAUGCUCAGAAUUGGAAGUGACUAAUAGUAAAGUGAUCUAUACUAUCAUCAUACUGGGCCAGGCCAUAUCAAGCCCCAUAUCAAGCUCCUACAACCAGGACUGGAGAAGUCUAAAUGACCCUUAGAGAAGGGGCUGUUACUUCUGUGUGUCUCUGCAAAGAAUCAGAGUCUUUUUGCUGUUGUUGCAAGAGUAGAAGAAACCACGGAUGUGGGAAAUUCAGAAUUUUUCAGCUAUACAAACUCGGCGGAGUCCCGGAACCAAGGUGGCUCCCGCUGGAGCCUGAGGCAGAAACCUCUCGGGCCGGGCGGACCCCUGUGCUCUCACCAGGAAGGUGGCCGGUUGUCUGGAGCCGAAGAUGGCGCCGCCUCAGAACAGGAAAAUCUUUUUAUGGUUCUUGUGAAGCUCACAGUUUUACUGCCAUGUAUAUUUAUUUAUAUAUUUCCUUAAAGCAUCUCAUUUAUUGUAGUUAUUAAAUUGUGUUUAUUUACUUGAGCUGUUAGAGGCAGUUUCUUUGAAUUAUACAUUGUAUUCAAAGCCUUAAGGCACCCUAACUUAAAUUCAGAGGACAUACACUUUUGUCCUUUUCUUAUACUAAAUUGAUCAUGGAGACAAGUGUACACAGUGGCAUUGUGUUUAUGGUGUGUGAUUGAAGGCCAUGAUGAAGUUAUAUAGUUGAUAUUUGAAUGACCCUAAAAACAAAUUUAUCGCAGAAGUAAAAAUACAAUGAAAACAACCCUAUGUGUUUUAUUAACAUGUGGAACUCUACAGCAGUAAUUGCUGAUAGUGGUAAAAUACUUUUGGUUUAUCAGAGACAGCUUUAGAACACAGGGCUGCUACAUGCCUGCCUCAUCGAUCUGGAUGAGUGCUCUAAAAUCUUCCUGUGGGAUCAAACAGGAGGACUCCAUUCUCCAGUGACCUAACUCUUAAGUGUGGCCCAUUCUUAAAAUAAUAUUUUUCACUGGAGUUUGGUUGCUUGGAACACUAAAUGGCUUACUCCUUGUAAGACAUAAUCCAAAACCUCCUGUCAGAGAUUUAUGGAAUUUCCACAUACACUCAGCAAGUGAAAAAUUUAUUCUCCAAUGUAUUUCUAUGUUACACAUGAUAUAGAAAGCUGCCUGGUCUAAACUUGCCUGAGUUAAAUUUAAAUGUAUUUGCCAGAAUAAAAUUCCC